rnacentral:rRNA from 1 species
UACGUAGGGGGCUAGCGUUGUCCGGAAUCAUUGGGCGUAAAGAGCGUGUAGGCGGUUCGGUAAGUCCGCUGUGAAAGUCCAGGGCUCAACCCUGGAAUGCCGGUGGAUACUGUCGGGCUAGAGUCCGGAAGAGGCGAGUGGAAUUCCUGGUGUAGCGGUGAAAUGCGCAGAUAUCGUAAGGAAGACCAGUGGCGAAGGCGGGUCUCUGGACAGUUCCUGACGCUGAGGCACGAAGGUCAGGGGAGCAAACGGG